AUACAUACAUACAUACAUACAUGUAUACACGCAUGUACUGAAACACAGCCGUACCUUUAAUUCCUGUGGUGUUUAUGUAAUAUGUACAUAGCAUGUGGUGGGUUCAUUUUAUUUCAUUGUUCCUCGUCACCUUUUCAUCAAAGAGAGAAAUUAUUCUUGCAAAAAUAUUAGCCAUUCUAGUUUCACAAAAAAAGAACUGAGAUUUUUUGGCUGCGAAGCUUAGAUUCCAUGGUAAUUUUCUCUUCCCACCUCUGUCACCCUCACCAUCUCUCCCUGUCUUUGGCUUCCUCGAUCUCCUUUUCUCUCCGUACUUUUCUAUCUGGUCGACACACCUGUUGCCCCUCGCUUGUGACGCCCUCUGGAAACUUCUUGGAAUACGUGGCAGGGGAGGCCAUUUGCUCACAGAAGUAGAUAUACUUCUAAGAAAAUGUUCGAACUCUUCGGCAUAUAUUCAAUGAUGGAGGGUUGCUUACAGCUACAUGCCUUGGUAGUAAACCCUUUAAGAAACUACAUAUAGGGCCUUUACAUUUGUGACACAUUUAUAACGGUGACCUCCAGGUAGUGUUGGGUGACAUAAUCUCGUUAUGCCCAAACCACAGCAACUCAACAACUGCACGUACUACAGAGUUACGUAUCGAACACAAUAUACACAUAUAUACGCACAUAAGUACCUAUACCCUCCGAAGCAUAUAGAACCAUAGGUUUUUUAAGUUAUCUCUACGGAUUUUCUAUUGCAAUUAGCAUCAACCCUGAAAAUUACGAUGUUUCGUAUACGAAUACGUCUAUGUAAACAACGUGAUUCGAGAGAGAAAAAUAGGUAAUUUAUGUAUAUGGAUAUUUCAGGAGUUCUUGCUCCUUCAUCAGUACCACAUCCAACCCAUUAACCACCCACGAACACAUUGCUUUAAUAGCUACUAAAUUUAGCGGUGUAACACAAUUGGAUUUACCAAUUUUUACAUAUUAAGCAUAUUCCUGGCAACUGUUUAGGGACACCGUAUUUCGUGGAAGGUUUGUGGGUUGGAUGUGAUGCAGACGAAGGCUGAAGAAUUCCUGAGAUAUGCAUAUACACCCAUUAACUUCAUUUUCUACCUUCGAUCGCAUUGUUUACAUAAACACAUUUGCAUACGAAACAUCGUAACUUUCAGUGCUGGCACCAGUUUCUAAAGAACAUCUAUAACGAUAACUUUAAAAAGUAACUGAAUCGCACUGCUAACACAGGAAGGACUGUAUUAUAAGCCUCUAAUACACUUGGGAAUAUAUUAUCAUUGCAUAACGAUGUCCUGACCAGAAAUUAAUAUAGAGACUAUCACCAAAGCCACACACUUUCACUUCAGUAAUUCAACCUUAUAUUGAUAUCCAUAAGCUUUGUUAAUAAAUUGCUCACAAAAUCGAAGUUAUAUGCACUUGAAGUGGUUCACCUGCUGAAUGUCAACAACAGUUGUCUGCCCUUUAUAACGUCGAAUUCACGGCCAAAAUCCCCGGAUCAAACCAUAUUUCUCUACUCCGACUCCAUCCGCAAUUUAUAUUUUACGAUUUUUCUUUUCUCUUCGUUUUUUCCGCUGGUUUCUAUUUUCAUCAGACGACAUUAUUAGUCUUGGGAAAAGUCAUGCUGCAUGCCAUGUUAUCGACUCCACCCUGUGUGUGUGUGUGUGUGUGUGUGUAUGUGUGUCUGUAUGUCCGUGUCGGGUCGUGGCAUUUGCCACAACCUCUCUCUCUCUCUAUCUCUCUAUUAUCCUCUAUAUUUCAUCUUUUACUUGUUUCAGUCAUUAGACUGCGGCCAUGCUGGGGUAUCACAGUUCUUAAUUUUUGAAAUGCUUGACUCACACACACACACACACACACAGAUAUACACGCAUAUAUGACGGGUUUCUUUCAGUUUCCGCUCACCAAAUCCACUCUCAAGGCUGAGAUCGGGCCGAGGCUGUAGUAGAAGACACCUGCCAAAAGGUUCAACGUAAUGGGACUCAACCUGGAACCAUAUAGUUGAGAAAUAAGCUUCUUAGCAUACAGCCACGUCUGCGCCUGUUUAUAUAAAUAAGAAUGUAACAUAUUCACUGAGUCUGUGAGAUAAAUUGGAAAUCUUUCAGUUAAAAUGAGUCAAAGUGUGUGUGCGUGUGACGAUUCACAUGUGUAUGCAUGUGUUAGUGACAGAGUGACUAUAGCGGAGCUAUGGUGACGGAAACGAUGGUGGUGGAUGAUUCCAGUUUUAAACAUGGCGGGCAAAACAUAAAAUAACACAAGACAAAAUGGUAGAUGCGUUAAUUAGUGACACAAUAUGUAUGUAUGUAUGUAUGUAUGUAUGUAUGUAUGUAUGUAUGUAUGUAUGUAUGUAUGUAUGUAUGUAUGUAUGUAUGUAUGUGUGUAUGUAUGUGUGUGUGUGUGUAUAUUCCAAUUUCAUGAUAAAGCGUCUGGAGUGUGUACUUAAUAUGUGCCUGUGUGUAUGUAUACAAACCUAUAUAUGAAUUGAUUACUCAAAUGAAACCAAGGCAACUUGCAUACAUACAUACAUACAUACAUACAUACAUACAUAUGCAUAUGUACAAAUAUGUACGAAUGCAUGUAUGUAUGUAUGCAUAUAUGUAUAUGUAUGUAUUUAUGUAUAUGUAUGUAUGUACAGAUAAGUAUGGAUUGUAUGCAUGAUGGUCAUCUGUGAGAUGAGUUUUUCUUCCAAACAAGUUGCACAAAACAAAUCUGUGUGAUGUCUGAUUUCCUCCCCCUCCUCCUCCUCAUGAUCAUCAUUAAGCGACUAAUUUGUCUUAUUUAUUAGUCAGUGUUUCAUGUAUAGUCUGAAAGUGUUGGGAUGGUCAUCAAUAUUUGAAAUCAAUUUUGAUUUUGCCAUGUGAUGAAGUGGUUGUUUAUAGAUAUAUAUAUGUAUAUAUAUAUAUAUAUAUAUAUAUAUAUAUAUAUAUUAUAUAUAUAUAUUUAUAUAUAUAUUUAUAUAUACAUGUAUGCAGAUACAUACAUACACACACACACACACACACACAUAUAUAUAUAUAUAUAUAUAUAUAUAUAUAUAUAUAUAUAUAUAUAUAUAUAUAUAUAUAUAUAUAUACAUAUAUAUAUUUCUUUAUCUAUAAAUGAUCACACAUAUGACGACCGUAACAUCGGUAUACAGCAUAUUCGUUAUUUUAGUAAACAGAAUUAGCAUAUUGGGUCCCUGUGACAUCGGCGAAAUACUUAGAUUAUCCUGGAUUCGUUUAACAAAUUCAUAGUUUCAAUGGGUACAGCAGAUGGGGACCUUCUUUCUUUCUUUAAUGUAUUGAUUAAAUGAUGUCAGUGAAGGGGCGUGACUUAGGUGGUUAUGGCAUUUGGUUCGUGAUCGUAGGGUCACGGUUUCGAUUCCUGAUCCCGUGUUUUGUCCUUGAGCAACUCAAUCUAUUUUACGUUGCUCCAGUUCACUCAGCUGGAAAAAAUAUGUACCUGCAUUUCGAAGGGCCAGUCUUGUCAAAUUCUGUGUCAAAUCCUGAGGACUACGUUAACGAUACGCGAGCCUGUGGAGUACUCAGACAACUUGCACGUUAAUUUCACGAUUAGGCUGUUCUGUUGAUCGGAUCAAGUGGAGCACUCCUCGUCGUAACCGACGGAGGGCUAUUUAAUGAUGUCGAAAUAGGCAACAAAACACCAAAACGGCUUCGACAAUUUGAUCCCUUCCCCGAUAGCUUCUCUGCAAUUGUACCAAGUGAAAGGAUGUGGACAGUUUGCAGGUGAACCAGUUCCACCAACGUUUCUUAGGUCCUCAUUCCCUGUAUCGAACUCAUUCAGUCGUCACCUAUUCCUGCAGUGAAGUAUUUCAUAGAUGCCAUCGUAAUGUUCUGAUAACAAAAGGCUGCGAUGCUUUAGACACAUAUUGAAUAACUGUCAAUGACAUGAUCAACCGAAGCCAAAAUCCUCAUUAUAUGUCAUUAUAUCAUACACACAUACAUGUAUAUGUCUGUGUGUAUUUAUCAACAUAUAAAGAUGUAUGCGUAUAUAUAAAUAUAAUAUAUACGUAGAUGUACAUAUUUCAUUCCUAUAUGCAUACAUACAUACAUAUAUAUAUAUAUAUAUAUAUAUAUAUAUAUAUAUAUAUAUAUAUAUAUGCAUACCCACACGUAAUAUAUACACCUUUAUUCAUAUACACACAGGGUGGGCCAAAAGUCACAAAAAUGUAAGAAAUUUUAAUAACAUUGUUUUCGUAAUUUAGAUGUGAUUUUCCGCAUCAAAAUUAAUUUAUUACCUAUAUAUCUAUUGAAUAAGAUGCUAUAUCUUAUUCAAUAGAUGCUAUAUGUACAUAUAUAUAUAUAUAUAUAUAUAUAUAUAUAUAUAUAUAUAUAUAUAUAUAUUGAAUAAGAUUGUAAAUUAAAAACAAAAUAUUAAAACAUGAUUAAAGAUUCAAAUAUCUUCAGAACUUUUCGCCCACUCUGUAUGUACAUAUAUAUAUAUAUAUACAGACAUACGUAUAUAUAUAUACAUACACAUGCAUAUACAUAUAUACAUCCAUCAACACCCCCCACACACACACUCUCUCUCACACACAUUCAUAUAUAUAUAUAUAUAUAUAUAUAUAUAUAACAUACACAUUAUGUAAAGGACAUCCCCAACGAGUGAAAAAUACGUAAACACACGAGAGAUAAGAACAGGACAUAAUGCCCAAAAAAGAUAACUCGUUCAUCAGUUGUCGACGACUGUAUAUAUAUAUAUAUAUAUAUAUAUAUACAAACCUGAAAUCCUGAGGUUAACUCCAUCGUACUGUUUCGGUCACAUAUUAACUCUGCUGUGCAAUAAUAGAGGUACCAAGCAAAUUACGGAUGCAUUUUUUCCCCCUUUUCUUUAAUGAUGAGUAAAAUAAAGCGGAUGGCAGUCACCCGUCAAUAUAUCGAUCAUGUUUAUGUUAUCACACAACCAACAUUCCUUGCAUUGCUUGCUCUUAUUUACUUUCAUCCACUUGAGCCUGGCGCAAAAGCAGAAAACCAUGAUCAAAGUUGAGACUUAUCUCACAGAUCAUCUCUCCGGCUUAUGCAAUGCUUCUGAUGUUACAAUCGGAGAUCAAAUUUAUAAAAAGAAACGUAUCUUCUCUAUGUAAAAUACUGAUAAAUAAUUUAAGGAUCAACUUAACUUUAAAUUUCCUGAUUGCUUGUCGACCGGGCAGUGAUUCUCAAUCAUGCUUUCUCUAUGGACGUGUUUGACUCCUAUUUUAUUAGACUGGACUCUCAGAACCAUUCAAUGUUUAAAACAACCACAGCUAUACUUUUAUGAUUCAAUACUAUAAGGAAUUGUAUUAAGAAUUGUUAGAAUAUUAUUUUGUAUUGAAGAUAUUUAAUCAGUUUAUUGAGUAUAAAUUGUAACAAGGAAAAAUUUUAUGGAGUCCCACGGGUCAUGGGAAUGCUGGGUGAGAAGCAGUGGUCAAAAAGAAGGAUAGGUAUUAGAGUAAAAAAUUCAUUCGGACAACACACUGUCUCAUUUAGCCAAUAUUAUAAAGGGAAAUAAAGGAAUUCCUUGAAAACAUCAUGAAGAAUUCUUCCGUUCUACAGAGUUUAUGUUAGAAUGAUAAUUAAAAGUUGAGACAAAUGGACAAAUGCUUUAAUGGAAUCAAAAGUAAACGACAAAUUUAUUUUAUAUAUGCAUGUAUUUAUAUAUUUUUAAAUACAUGCAUGCAUUUAUAUGUAUAUAAAUAUAUGCAUGUAUAUAUAUAAUAUGCAUGUAUUUAUAUAUAUAUAAUAUAUAUAUAAUAUGCAUGUACUUAUAUAUAUAUAAAUAUAUACAUGUAUUUAUAUAUAUAUUUUAUAUAUAUAUGUAUGUAUUAUGUAUGCACGGAUGUAUGUAUGCAUGUAUGUAUGUAUGAAUAUAUAUAUAUAUAUAUAUAUAUAUAUAUAUAUAUAUAUAUAUAUAUAUACAUAUAGUCAUGUGUUUACAUACAUACAUUCAUACAUAUAUAUAUAUAUAUAUAUAUAUGGAUAUAUAUAUGGAUAUAUAUACACAUAACGUGGAUAAAUAUAUACAUAUACACCUAUUCAAUUAAUCAUUGCUAUGUGUUUGCGUACAUACACACACGCAUAUAUAUAUAUAUAUAUACAUAUAUAUAUAUAUAUAUAUGUGUAUGUGUGUGUGUGUGUGUGUGUGUGUAUUAUAUGUGUGUGCAUGGAUGUAUGUAUGCUAUGAAUUGCCGAAUACUAAUACUUGAAUUUUAUGCGUCACAUGUGUGAGUGUUGUUGUAAGUGGCUCGAAACUCGCCUUUCCUUCAAAACUUUUCACUCUUCCAAGGCACCGACAAAAAACAAAUAAAAAAACCCAGCCGCCACCCCCCCUCUCAGCCUCCAGCCAUAAUGCUUCGCCACAAUCCCUGCUACCCUCCUCCUCGGCUUUCUAUGAUUCAUUAUUUCAUUUCUCACAUAAAGUCGUGAUGCUCACUUAACUGGUCACGCCCAAAUUCCCUUCACAUUUGAAAGGAAUUCGAUCUUUCAUUUACAUGCGCUCACACACAUAUACACACACACACAUACAUAUGAACACACACGCACACGUAGAUAUUUAUGUACAUAUAUAUAUAUAUAUAUAUAUAUAUAUAUAUAUAUGUGUGAGUGUGUGUGUCUGUGUGUGUAUGUAUGUGUGUGCGCGUAUGUUUGUUCGUUUGUUUUACAUUAAUCUGAUGUUUCACUCCAUAUCUUUUGUAGGGUAAUGAAUUUCUUAGUCUUAAACAAGAAUAUUUUUGACAGUGACGACGAUGGCCCCGCUGGCCGUACUUCGAAGUCACAGCCAAUAAUAUUUUACUUAAGAUUAUAUAUAUAUAUAUAAAUAAAUAACACGCAUACAUUUACAUUCAUACACGUUAAAUAUAUGCAUAUAUACAUCUGUAGAUGAGUAUAUUAAUUUAUAUAAAUGUAACUAUAUAUAUAUAUAUAUAUAUAUAUAUAUACAUAUAUAUAAUAUACAUAUAAUAUAGAUAUAAUAUAUAUAUAUAAAUAUAAUAUAUAAUAUAUAUAUAUAUACAUAUAUCUAUGUCUACAUAUGUAUAUAUAUAUAUACAUAUACACACAUACAUUCAUAUGUUUGUUACUUUUAACAACAAUGUGUAUUUCAUUCAGGCGCAAAAAUUAAGAAGGAUAUCAGUAAUUAACCUCUGUGUAUAUUAUUUAUCGUCCACUUGCCUCUGUAUACACACAGCUGUUAAAGUGCAUACGCAUGUACACAUCAUGUAUGCAUGUACAUCCUGCACCUCGUGCUCAGGGUAUACAUGUGUGUGUAUUUAUCUCUAUAUUGUGAUAAAAACCCACACACACACACACAUACACACACACACACACACACACACACACACACACACACACACACACACACACACAUUCAAACAUGCAAACACGGACACACCCGCAAUUUGUAAAUUCAUCGAAAUAUGUGGCGAGAUAAACAUUUUACGAGAUUUCUGCAAAAUGUAAAUAUGGUGUGUUAGUAAAGCAAGAAGGCAUUGAUAGAUUUAUAAAUACGAAAACGGAAUCAAUACAAGAGUGUAAUUCAUGUUAU
rnacentral:lncRNA from 1 species